UGGGGAAUAUUGGACAAUGGGGGCAACCCUGAUCCAGCAAUGCCGCGUGUGUGAAGAAGGCCUUCGGGUUGUAAAGCACUUUUAUCGGGAACGAAACAUUGUCGGCCAAUACCCGGCAAGACUGACGGUACCCGAGGAAUAAGCACCGGCUAACUCCGUGCCAGCAGCCGCGGUAAUACGGAGGGUGCAAGCGUUAUCCGGAUUCACUGGGUUUAAAGGGUGCGUAGGUGGGUAUGUAAGUCAGUGGUGAAAUCCCCGAGCUUAACUUGGGAACUGCCAUUGAUACUAUAUAUCUUGAAUACCGUAGAGGUAAGCGGAAUAUGUCAUGUAGCGGUGAAAUGCUUAGAUAUGACAUGGAACACCAAUUGCGAAGGCAGCUUACUAUGCGGUGAUUGACACUGAGGCACGAAAGCGUGGGUAGCAAACA
rnacentral:rRNA from 1 species